GUUGUGGCUCAGUGGUAGAGCGCUUGCCUAGCAUGUGUGAGGUACUGGGUUCAAUCCUCAGCACUACA
rnacentral:tRNA from 1 species